rnacentral:rRNA from 1 species
UGGGGAAUAUUGGACAAUGGGGGCAACCCUGAUCCAGCAAUGCCGCGUGAGUGAAGAAGGCCUUCGGGUUGUAAAGCUCUUUUGUCAGGGAAGAAACGGUAGUAGCGAAUAACUAUUACUAAUGACGGUACCUGAAGAAUAAGCACCGGCUAACUACGUGCCAGCAGCCGCGGUAAUACGUAGGGUGCAAGCGUUAAUCGGAAUUACUGGGCGUAAAGCGUGCGCAGGCGGUUGUGUAAGUCAGAUGUGAAAUCCCCGGGCUCAACCUGGGAAUUGCAUUUGAGACUGCACGGCUAGAGUGUGUCAGAGGGGGGUAGAAUUCCACGUGUAGCAGUGAAAUGCGUAGAUAUGUGGAGGAAUACCGAUGGCGAAGGCAGCCCCCUGGGAUAACACUGACGCUCAUGCACGAAAGCGUGGGGAGCAAACAGGAUUAGAUACCCUCGUAGUCCCUGAGCGGGCUGGCAAGGCGCAU